rnacentral:misc_RNA from 1 species
GAGAGUAGGUUAUUGCCAGGGUUUUUAUUUUUAUACUUUAAACUUUGAUUUUAUUUUUAUGUUAAUUAAAUAUUGGUGUUUUUGAAUGUGUUGUUUAAAUAACAUAAAAAAUAAAAUAUAUAUUGACAUGUAUUCAACAAAGAUAUAUAUUAUUUUAUGUUGUAUAAAUAAAUUGGCAAAAUAGAGAUGGAAGAUAAAAAUAUGGUCAAAGUAAUAAGAGUCUAUGGUGAAUGCC